rnacentral:sRNA from 1 species
CUAAUAUGAACACAUUCGGAAGUUCAGGUGGGAUUGACCUGCUCUUCUGUUACUGGGUUCUCCUGGCGCGUUCUAAGCCGCGGGCGGUCCUCCCUCGCCCGAUGGUUAUGCGCCCGCCUCGCCUCGCACGUCAUCCGGCGCGCGAGGCUUUUU